UACGAAGGGUGCAAGCGUUAUUCGGAAUCACUGGGCGUAAAGGGUGCGUAGAUGGUAUGUUAAGUUCGUUGUUAAAGGCUCCGGCCUAACUGGAGUAUUGCGAUGAAAACUGGCACACUAGAGGGUGAGAGAGAGAAGUGGAAUUCCACGUGUAGCGGUGAAAUGCGUAGAUCUCGAGAGGAACACCGAUGGCGAAGGCAGCUUCUUGGUCCAUUUCUGACGCUGAGGCACGAAAGCGUGGGGAGCAAACAGG
rnacentral:rRNA from 1 species